GAACGCUGGCGGCGUGCCUAAUGCAUGCAAGUCGAGCGACGCAUACCGGAGGGGUAACCCACUGGUAUGACGGAGCGGCGAACGGGUGAGUAACACUUGAGCAACCUGCCCCACAGAUCGGGAUAGCCCAGGGAAACCUGGAUUAAUACCGAAUAUCCUCGGAGGACCGCAUGGUCCGCUGAGGAAAUGCCUUUGUGCUGUGGGAUGGGCUCGAGGCUUAUCAGCUAGUUGGUGGGGUAACGGCCUACCAAGGCAUCGACGAGUAGCUGGUCUGAGAGGACGAUCAGCCACACUGGGACUGAGACACGGCCCAGACUCCUACGGGAGGCAGCAGCAGGGAAUCUUGCGCAAUGGGCGAAAGCCUGACGCAGCAACGCCGCGUGGGGGAUGAAGGCCUUCGGGUUGUAAACCCCUUUCAGGAGGGAAGAAAUUGACGGUACCUCCAAAAGAAGCACCGGCCAACUACGUGCCAGCAGCCGCGGUAAUACGUAGGGUGCGAGCGUUAUCCGGAAUCAUUGGGCGUAAAGAGCUCGUAGGCGGUUCAGCAAGUCGGCUGUGAAAUUCCGAGGCUCAACCUCGGAACUGCAGUCGAUACUGCUGUGACUCGAGUCCGGUAGAGGAGAAUGGAAUUCCCGGUGUAGCGGUGAAAUGCGCAGAUAUCGGGAGGAACACCAGUAGCGAAGGCGGUUCUCUGGGCCGGCACUGACGCUGAGGAGCGAAAGCGUGGGUAGCAAACAGGAUUAGAUACCCUGGUAGUCCACGCC
rnacentral:rRNA from 1 species